rnacentral:misc_RNA from 1 species
GAUGAAGAACGUAGCGAAAUGCGAUACGUAAUGUGAAUUGCAAAUUCAGUGAAUCAUCGAGUCUUUGAACGCACAUUGCGCCCCCUGGUAUUCCGGGGGGCAUGCCUGUCCGAGCGUCAUUGCUGCCCUCAAGCACGGCUUGUGUGUUGGGCCCCGUCCUCCGAUCCCGGGGGACGGGCCCGAAAGGCAGCGGCGGCACCGCGUCCGGUCCUCGAGCGUAUGGGGCUUUGUCACCCGCUCUGUAGGCCCGGCCGGCGCUUGCCGAUCAACCCAAAUUUUUAUCGAGGUUGACCUCGGAUCAGGUAGGGAUACCCGCUGAACUUAAGCAUAUCAAUAAGCGGAGGA